rnacentral:lncRNA from 1 species
AGAACUUUCUGGGCCAGGGAUUGAGCCUGCAUCACAGCAAUGACAAUGCCAGAUCCUAAACCACUAGACCACAAGUGAACUCUGUAAUGUGUCAUUUUUAACUAGCCGCUUUUAAGAUUUGCAGUUGGACUAUGACAUGUAAUAGUUAUCCUGCUUAGUGUUUGACGGGCUUCUUGAACCUGUAAAUUUAUGUCUUUCACAAAAUUUGGGAAGCUAUUUGCCAUUAUUUCUUUAAACUUUUUUAUGCCCAUUCUUUUUCACUUCUCCUUCUGAAAUUAUAAUAUGGGCCUUUUGAAAUUGUUGCCCUAAGGCUUUAUUGUUUAUUUUAUUUUGCUUCAAUAUUCUUCUCUCUUUUCUUUAGAUUGGACAAUUUGCAUUAGUCUUCAAAUUCACAGAUUUUCCUCUGCUAUCAUUUUAUGGUUUGAUUAAUCUCUUCCAGUGAUAUUUUUAUUCCAGAUAGUCUUAUUACAGAUAUUGUAUUUUUCAGUUUUAAAAUUUCCAUUUGGUAUUACAAAGUAUUUUCUAUUUUUCUGUUGAGAUUUUUACUUUUCAUUCACUGAACAUAUUGUAAAAGCUGCUUUAAAAUCUUUGAUAAUUUCAACAUUUGAAUUAUCUCAGGACUGACUUCUGCUAAUUGUCUUUUCCCCUGAGACAAGGUCAUAUUUUUCAUGUUCUUUGUAUGUCUCAUAAUUUUGGGUUGUAUCUUGGACAUCAUAAUUGUUAUGUUUCAGAGACUCUGGAUUUCUCAUAUUCUUCUGAAGAGGGUCAGUUAUAGUAUUUUUGAUUUAGUAGGGAAUUAACUUUCUCUUAAUUACACUUAAUCUGUAAUCUGUUUCUGCUGUGACUGAUGUCAGCUCAAAUCUCAAUUUUCCUUUAGUCUUUGUUCUUCGUUGCUUUGAGUUUGUCCUGCUUAUGUGUGAUACAGGGAUCAGCUGAUGACAUGGGCAUAGCUGAUAUACAAAAUUUGGGAUUCUUCAUCUCCUGUUCUCUCCUCAGGAUUCCCUUCAAGCCCCAAGCUCCAUCUCUUAGUUCGUCAGGCUAAAAAUAUGGCAGGAUUUCUAUUGGAGUUUCAGCUAGCCCAUGCUAUGACGAGAUUAUAGCUCUGACCAAAACCACAAAAACAGGAAACAUUUUGUGUUGGUUCCUUUCUCCAAGUUUUUUACUCUCCUCCAAAAUCUGUUGCUUUUUUUUUUUUUUUUUGUCUUUUUGCUAUUUCUUGGGCCGCUCCCGUGGCAUAUGGAGCGGCCUUAGAAAAGGCAAAAAGACAAAAAAGAAAAAAAUAAAUAAAAAAUAAAAAAUUACAGAGGUAAUGAGGUUGGGACCAGAUCUUAUAGGGCAAGAUGUCCUAUCUUUUCUAAUCUUACUCCUAGUCUCCCUUAUCCUGAGGUCUUAUUAAUUCAUGUCUGCAACAGCUUCUAACUCAUCUCAUCCAUUUUCCAGUUUAACCUAUAUAAUGCCACUGUGAUAACUGGAAAAUACCACCUUCAACAUGUCAUUCCCCUCUGCGCAAGGAUUCAGAAAAGUUAUCAAAUACAUCAAGUCUAAAUUAGUCUAUAGGAUUUUUAGGACUACCCUUAUUUACUCUUGUCUCUAGUGAUUUUUUUCUGAUCAUUUACUGAGCUCUUUCUUUGUUCAAGGAGCUGUGACCAAAGAUGGGUAAGAAACAGGUUCAAGACGUGGAGUUUGCUGUCAACAUAAACUUUCUUCCUAGGUCUGAGAGCCUUUUCCAAUUUCUUGCAUACAUGCAUUGAUGUCUUUAUAUUUCUAACUCAAGAUUUUGCUAUUUUUGCCCUUGAAUAUCUUCUCUUCUUGAACUUCCAACAUAAUCCAAAAUUCUUCUAUGGUUAUAAGGCCCUGCAUAAUCUAGUCCCUCACUAUUUCUUCUUGUGAUCACCUCUUGUGAUAUCCUUUUCAUCCCUCACUCUAUAGUCCAAUGACAUUGACUACCUCUCAGUUCUCUAAAUGUACUAAGUUUUUCCCUGUGUCUAGACCUUCUUCUGCCUAGGUCACAUUAUCCACUCCUUUUGCUUAUUCACACUUUAAGCCUUUGUUUGAGUGACCUGAGAACUUCCUUCCCUAACUCCAAUCUAUACAAGGUUUCACAGCAUCUUGUAAGAUCAUGUGUUUAAUGGGUUAUUACAAAGAGUUGCUCUCUCUACUAGAUCAUAAGCUCCAGGAAGAGGAGUAGAACUGUCUCUAGCUCACCACAGUAUCCUGGCUACUCUUUAAUCCAUCUAAUUUCAUUUUCUCCAAGAGUGCUCAAGAUCUUCUAAGUUUCUCAACGACCCUUUUCUUCCCUGACUUGUUUUGUUUUUUAAUAAAAUAGUUCUUCAAAUGUUGAAUUCAAAACCCUGGUGACAAUGAUCCAGCUCACCAUGACAGGAAAAACCAUCUCUCCUAGUGUAUCAUUGUAGAGCUGAUUGUAUUUCCUUCCCAAACCAUACAAUUUAAUCCUAAAUAAAGCCUGAAAUGUACUUGGGCAGAAAAAACAUAUAAAACAAACAGCAUUUGGACAGGACUUCUUUUUUUUUUUUUUUUUUUUUUUGCUUAAAAAGUUCUAUGAAAGUUUCUGUCUUAACAGGUUAUAUUUUGCUUGUUUGUUUUGCCCCGACUUCUUAUUGUGUUAAAGUCUUGCCACAUGUCAAUAAGACAUCUGCCCAUCUUACUUUUCCAUUCAGCUUGUCUGGUACUUAAAAUUGGGAAUAACAUGUUCCAUAUAUUUUAAGAAUCCUAUAAUGCUCUGGUCAGACGUCAGUGGCAGGGACAUUUCUUUUUAAUCUCUAAAUCACUUGCAGUUAUUGCAGGAGCCCACAACCAAGAAAUCCUCAGUAAAUGUUUGCUAAACUGUUCAAUUAAAUGUAAAUUGGUUGAUUCACAGGUGACUGAUUGGUACUUAUUUGGUAGAUAGACUUAUUUACUCAUUCAUUCAAUAACUAUUUAUGUAAUGCUCUAACAUCCAAAGUCCUAUGCUUAGCACUGGGGAGAAAAUGGAACAAAAGACACACAAGGAAUCUCCCAUUUCAGUAGGGGAAAUCUACAUGUGUAUUACCAUGUAUCUACAUGUAUUACUAUAUAAUAUCUAGUAAUGGGAUAAUGCUUUGUACAGGUAUCAUCAUGCACACAAUGAAGUCCCAGGAUUGGUUCUAUUCAUGAUUAUUGAGGAAGGUUUUAUAAAGUUGAGUUGUAAAGAAUGGACAGAAGUUUACCAAGCCAACAAAGGUAGAGAGGAACAAAAGAAGGCAUGUUUACCAGUAAGUCAUCAAGAGUAAAACAAGACACAUGAAAUAAGGUUAGAGAAACAGCCAGAAUUAUAUCACACUGUACUUUUUAUACCAUGCUACAUAACAACUGCUUUUAGUCUAAGUGAGAGAUGCAGUUUUAAGAGAGAUGUACAGUGAUGGUGUGAAAGAGAACUCAGGGUAGGAAGACAGAUUCAGGGAGUAUAUGUCUAGGGAGAAAUGUGAAGGAUCUGAGAUGUCAGUGAGGAUAAAGUGAGGGUAGUGAUUUGAUUGAUAUUAGGAGACAGAAGUUAACAGGAGACAGUGAUUCACUGGGAAGGGAAGAAGAUAUAGAGGGAGGAGCCUAAGAGGACUCCUAAGUUUCUGAUGGGGAUCUCUGAGCAAAUGGUAAUGCUUUCACCUGACUUAAGGAGUACAGAAAGAAGUAUACAUGUGAGGAGAGAAAAUUAAUGCAGUUUAGAAAUGUUAAUGGAUAUCUGAAGGACAUCCAAGGGCUUAUGUCUGGUAGGAAAAAGGAAAUGAGGACCUGAAGCUCAGGGGAGAGUUCUUAAUUAGAGAUUUAGAUUUCAAGGCCAAAUAUUUAUGAUUCUGUUUCAAAUGACAAAAUGUCACAAAAUAGCGCUACCAAGGCCCUGCCAGCUGCUGCUUCUGCCCUCAAGCAGAUCAUCUAACACUCAUCAGUCAACAUAUAUCAGAAUGCACUACGUGGGUUUGCAAUUUGUCCUUCACUUUAGCCCCUCUAGGUCUGCCUGUGGUAUCAGCAAUGAUACUUGGGGUCUUCUCUUGAGCUUGCUCCCCUACUCACAUGUGUUCUUUGGCACAGAGGUGAGAGUGUCCAGGCAAUACUGAACACUGGAUUAGCACCAUUUCAUUGGAGACUAGACUAGAAAUAUUUGAUUGGAAAGAGUCACUUAAAGAGUUACCUAGAAAAGAAACAAACUGACUGCUCUGUAUAAACACUCUUUGGACCUGAUGUAAUAUAUCCCUAACUUUUUGUGACUUCUGACAACUACUUUAAGAAAGUAAUAUAUGACCAAUUUAAUAACUAAUCAUAAUGAAAGCAUAAUUAUCUGAUAAUGCCAGGUCAGAGAUCAUCCAACUACAUAAAUCCUAAUGGAAAGAAGAACAUUAACUGAUUAAACCUAGAUCUAAAAUUCCACUUAUGGAGUUCCUGUCGUGGUGUAGCGGAAACGAAUCUGACUAGGAACCAUAAGGUUUCAGGUUUGAUCCCUGGCCUCACUCAGUGGGUUAAGGAUCUGGCAUUACCGUGGCUCUGGUGAAGGCCGGCAGCUGUAGCUCCGAUUAGACCCCUAGCCUGGGAACCUCCAUACGCUGCGAGUGAGGCCCUAAAAAGCAAAUAAAUAAAUAAUAAAAUAAAAUAAAAUUCUAUUUAUUUAUUAGCUCAUUCUCUUUGUUUUGGCCAUGCCCAUGGAAUGUGGAGGUUUCUGGGUCAGGGAUCAAACCCACACCACAGCAGUGACUCAAGCCACUGCUACGACAAUGCCAGAUCCUUAAACUGCUGCACCAUAAGAGAACUCCUAAUAGUUCAUUCUUUUUUUAUUUCUUUUUCUUUCUUGGCUGUCCCACGACAUGUGGAGUUCCCAGGCCACAGAUAAGAUCCAAGCUGCAGUUGCAACCUACAAUGCAGCUGAAGCAAUGCUGGAUCUUUUAACCCACUGUGCUGGGCCAGGGAUCAAAUCUGCUUCUUGGCACUGCAGAGAUGC